rnacentral:rRNA from 1 species
GACGGGGGGGGCAAGUGUUCUUCGGAAUGACUGGGCGUAAAGGGCACGUAGGCGGUGAAUCGGGUUGAAAGUGAAAGUCGCCAAAAAGUGGCGGAAUGCUCUCGAAACCAAUUCACUUGAGUGAGACAGAGGAGAGUGGAAUUUCGUGUGUAGGGGUGAAAUCCGUAAAUAUACGAAGGAACGCCAAAAGCGAAGGCAGCUCUCUGGGUCCCUACCGACGCUGGGGUGCGAAAGCAUGGUGAGCGAACAGG